rnacentral:rRNA from 1 species
GCCAGCAGCCGCGGUGAUACGUAGGUGGCGAGCGUUAUCCGGAUUUACUGGGCGUAAAGCGGGUGCAGACGGUUUUUCAAGUCGGGCGUAAAAUCUCCCAGCUUAACUGGGAGGGACCGUUCGAUACUGUGAAGCUUGAGGACAGCAGGGGGAGGUAGAAUUCUCGGUGUAGUGGUGGAAUGCGUAGAUAUCGAGAGGAAUACCAGUGGCGAAGGCGGCCUCCUGGGCUGUUUCUGACGUUCAGACCCGAAGGUGUGGGGAGCAAACAGGAUUAGAUACCCUGGUAGUCCACACUGUAAACGAUGGAUACUAGGUAUAGGGAGUAUCGACCCUCUCUGUGCCAAAGCUAACGCGUUAAGUAUCCCGCCUGGGAAGUACGGCCCGCAGGGCUAAACUUACAGGAAUUGACUGGGGCC